GACGAACGCUGGCGGCGUGCCUAAUACAUGCAAGUCGAACGCACAGUUUAUACCGUAGCUUGCUACACCAUAGACUGUGAGUUGCGAACGGGUGAGUAACGCGUAGGUAACCUGCCUGGUAGCGGGGGAUAACUAUUGGAAACGAUAGCUAAUACCGCAUAAUAUUAAUUAUUGCAUGAUAAUUGAUUGAAAGAUGCAACUGCAUCACUACCAGAUGGACCUGCGUUGUAUUAGCUAGUAGGUGAGGUAACGGCUCACCUAGGCGACGAUACAUAGCCGACCUGAGAGGGUGAUCGGCCACACUGGGACUGAGACACGGCCCAGACUCCUACGGGAGGCAGCAGUAGGGAAUCUUCGGCAAUGGACGAAAGUCUGACCGAGCAACGCCGCGUGAGUGAAGAAGGGUUUCGGAUCGUAAAGCUCUGUUGUAAGAGAAGAACGGGUGUGAGAGUGGAAAGUUCACACUGUGACGGUAUCUUACCAGAAAGGGACGGCUAACUACGUG
rnacentral:rRNA from 1 species